rnacentral:lncRNA from 1 species
UUUUCUUGACUCUUGACUUGCUACUUCAUCACCCUGUUCUUUAAGCGGACUCCUGACUUGAAAUUUCUUCAACUUGUUGUUUGGCUUUCAAAUGCUUCACCUCAUUGCUUAACUUUCAAUUCUUCACCCUGUUCUUCAGGCAGGCUCCUGACUUGCUAUUUUUUCAAUCCGUUAACUUUCAUCUUUUCACCUUAUUGCUUUGUUUUCAACUUCUUCACCUUGUUGCUUGACUUUUAACUUCUUCGCUUUGUUGCUUGGAUUUCCAUUUAUUCGCCCUGUUCUUCAGGCAGGCUCCUGAAAUCACAUCAAAACUAAAAAAAAAUUAUCCCAAAUAAAGAUUAUUACAAAGAGAAAUUUCGGUUGCCAGAAAAGAAAAGUUCCAAAAUAGAUAUUAAAUUUCCCCAGUUUACCAUCAGAAGACUUUUGAGAAAGUCAGAUCAUACCUACUUGCAUGUUGCAAUAACGAAUCAAGACUCUGACCAAGAAAUGCAUCUUUUGAGAGUAAAAUUGAAUGACCAAGACUAGGAAUUGUGUCUCCUAAGAAUUUAAAUGAGGAAUUCUGACUAGAAAGUGCGUCUUCUAGAGAUAGAAGUUAAAUUAAAAAGUAUGUCACCUAACAAAUGAAAACUAACAAGAAAGUGCAUCUCAUAAAGAUUAAGUUCAAUGACUCGACUAAAAAGUGCAUUUUCUAGAAAUCAAGGAGAAUGAAUGACUCGACUAAAAAGGUAUGCCUUAUAGGAAUCAAGGGGAAUAACUCGACUAAAAGGUACGUCUUAUAGGAAUCCAGGGAAAUGACUCGACUAAAAGUACUCCUUGUAGGAAUCAAGGGGGAUGACUCGACUAAAAGAUACGUCUUAUAGGAGUCAAAAGGAGAUGACUCGAAAUGAGGGUAGGGUCAAUAGGAAAGGUGAGAAGGGAGUCGACUAAAAGAUACGUCUUAUAGGAGUCAAAAGGAGAUGACUCGACUAAAAGGUACGUCUUAUAGGAAUCCAGGGAAAUGACUCGACUAAAAGUACUCCUUGUAGGAAUCAAGGGGGAUGACUCGACUAAAAGGUACGUCUUCUAGGGGUCAAGGAGGAUGACUCGACUAAAAGGUACGUCUUAUAGGAAUCAAAGGGGAUGGACUCGACUAAAAGGUACGUCUUAUAGGAAUCAAGGGGGAUGACUCGACUAAAAGGUACGUCUUAUAGGAAUCAAGGGGGAUGACUCGACUAAAAGGUAUGCCUUAUAGGAAUCAAAGAGAGAUGACUCAACUAAAAGGUACGUCUUAUAGGAAUCCAAGGAAAUGACUCGACUAAAAGGUACGCCUUGAAGGAAUCAAGGAGAAUGACUCAACUAUAAGGUGUGUCUGAUAGGAAUCAAAGGAAUUGACUCGACUAAAAGGUACAUCUUCUAGGGGUCAAGGAGAAUGACUCAACUAAAAGGUACGUCAUAUAGGAAUCAAGGGAGAUGACUCGACUAAAAGAUACGUCUUACUAGGAAUCAAGGGAGAUGACUCGACUAAAAGGUACGUCUUCUAGGUGCCAAAGGGAAUGACUCGACUAAAAGGUACGUCUUAUAGGAAUCAAAGGGAGUGACUCAACUAAAAGGUACGUCUUAUAAGAAUCAAAGAAGAUGAUUCGACUAAAAGAUACGUCUUAUAAAAAUCAAAGGGAAUGACUCGACUAAAAGGUACGUCUUAUAGGAAUCAAAGGAGAUGACUCAACUAAAAGUUACGUCUUAUAGAAAUCAAAGGGAAUGACUCUACUAAAAGGCACAUCUUCUAAGGGUCAACGGGAAUGACUCGACUAAAAGGUACGUUUUAUAGGAAUCAAAGGGAAUAACUCGACUAAAUGGUACGUCUUAUAGGAAUCAAAGGAGAUGACUCGACUAAAAGGUACGUCUUAUAGGAAUCAAAGGGAAUGACUCGACUAAAAGGUACGUCUUAUAGGAAUCAAAUGAGAUCACUCGACUAAAAGGUACGUCUUAUAGAAUCAAAGAGAAUGACUCAACUAAAAGGUACGUCUUCUAGGAGUGAAGGUUCAAUUUAAGAAGUGUAUCAUCCAGCAAAUGAAAACUGAAAUCCCUGGACAAGAAAGUGUGUCUCCGAGGGAUAUAAGAUAAUGAAUUUUUACCAUGAUUUAAUUAUCAAACCUAUGCAGCAACUUUGCUUCCUGCAUUUGUAGGAGUGAGGCAUUGCAACCCUUGAUAUUUAUGCUCUGAAGUCCUUGCUUUGAAGGUAAUAUGUUUUCUGUUUCAUCAAAGAAAACUUGUAAGUUUAAAACAUGGUGGCUGGUUUGUGGCUUUAGCUUUCGCGGCGAUCGCUCUUGCCCUCAUCACAUUUAAACUUACUUUUAACUAUUAGCAUAUAUCAUUGACUUGCUGAAUCACGGACCAGAACUCAGAUUAUUAAGAGUGACUAAAACAAACACAGUAUCUCUGUUUUGCCAUGUUUCUCAGAUAGACCCUUUGAACCUUGGUAUUUUCAUGAGUUCCCUGACUUCUCUAUUGACAAAACUUUCUGCCUGACCUUUUUUGGCUCACAAUCAUGUCUCUUUCAUGUGCUAGCUUUUGUCUAGCUUUGUGCAAUUAAAGAAGUUGGUAGCCAGUUUUAAAAUCUUUUCUCACUUAUUUUGACACGGACUUGACUCAAAGACAAUAAACAAAAAAAAAAAUGACAAUUUUUUUUGGAUAACUGACUCAAGAAAGAUAAAAAUAAAAAUAAAGAGAAGAAAGAAAAGACAAUGAAUGUUCCCAUUUGAAAUAAAGAAACAAAAAAUUCAUCUAAAAAUGACAGUCAACACUAAUGAUUAUGCCAUGCAUUUUGAAUUAAGCAACUUGAUCUUUUCAUUCAAACUUUCUACCCAUUGUUAUUGAGUUAAUGGCAUUGAAACUGAGUUGCUUCCUUAGUUCAAUUGCAUUUAAGACCCCAUUCGGUAGUGACGCCUUGAAGGGUUUUCGCCAACAAGCUUCUCUCAUUUUGUUUUCCUCAGCUCACUAUUGUCUUAUGGUGUCUGUAAGGGUUUUCCACUAAUGAGACUCUUUUAUCUUUAUUUCCCUUAACUCACAGUCGUCUUACGGUGCCCGUGAGAGUUUUUACCGAUAAGACUCUCUUAUUUUUAUCUCUCUCAGCUUACCAUCGUCUUAUGGUGCCCGUGAGUGUUUUCACCAAUAAGACUCUCAUUUUUAUUUCUCUCCUUAUUUCUUAUGCUGAGGAAGUCUUCGUCAUAUUAAUCUUUAAAAAUGCUAGUACAUAGCAUGCAAUGUGAAAGUACACGAUCAAUAUCACUUAUGACAUGUUUUACACCACUAACUUGCCCCGAGCAUGUGUGUCACCACUUUUAUAUACUUGUCAAACAUAUAACUCUAUAUUUGUUGUACAUCCUUCCCAUUUAAUGACUCAUGCUUUCGUGGAGUUGAUUUUCUUUCUGUUCAUGCAGCCAUUAUUGACCUAAUUGAAACAUGUCUUUCAAUUAAUGACCAAGUUAUUCUUGUGAUUCUCAAAGUAAUUGCCUUAAUUUUUUAAGAAGGCUUCAACUUGUCACCAAAUGUCUCAGCACUCCACCUAUUUUCUCAGAUAUUUUUCCUAACUUUAGCUCUCUGACUCAAUGUUUCAUGGUUAAGUUGGAUUUUAAGAUCUGGCUUAAAAUUUUGAUAGCAUGUCAUAUCACUAGAAUCAACAUAAAAUGUACUGUAUAAAGAAAACAAACAAACGACACAUAUUUAAACACAAAGGGAAAUGGACAAUUCAUUUAGUUAAAAUAAAAGAUAGAAGGGUUUGAACAUAAACGACAAAGGGACAAAACAAGAUAGAUCCCGAACUACAAUUCUGAAAUAAUUCGGAUAACAGAAAGUAAAACAAAACAAACUACCAGACCUCUUCCUAGUAGGGAGAGGGGUGACUUCUCAAUUGCUCAGCCUGACAUCUUAGCCACUGAUUUGCAUAUCAGCAUGACUAGAGUUUCCCUCACUGUCAAUGUUCUGCACCAUAAUUGAUCCAUCUUGAAUCAUCUUUUUAAUUUCUCUUCUCAAAGCACGAUAAUAUUCAAUACUGUGACCCUGAACAUCAGAAUGAUAUGCAUAUCGUACAUUAGGAUAAAAACUUCUUGAAUGUGGGUCAGGAGUAAACCCAAGGAGAGGAGUGAUCACGCCUUGCUGUACCAAUCUCUGGAAUAAACUGGCAUAGGAUUCCCCAAAAGGAGUGAAAUUAUCUUUUUUCUUCCUCCUCUUUACGAACUCUGGCCUCGGAUGAAACUUGGAUUUAGAGGUUCCUUAGUAAAUAUGUGGGGGUCGAGGACGAUGUUGAGGGACAGGUGCAUGCCAUUGUGGAUAAGAAAAUGGAUAACCAUACAAUUGUGCAAGGAUAUUGAGGAGGUGGAAUGGGAUUUCUUAGAUUUUGGGAAAAGAAACCUUGUUGCAAGUGGUUAUGUGGAUCUAAUAUGUAAGCUCGGGAUUUAGGCUGACAGUAUUGGUGGGUUAGACCUCUCAAACUCUGUUUUGGCCCUAGCAUGACUAUAGGUGCGUUUUUCUUCUUCUUUCCUUCAGUUUCAUUUGGUUGAUUGCAAUGUCGACGCAAAUGUUUCACAGAAUCCUUCUGUCCAUCAGGCUCCCUAAAUUUUCAUGUCUCAAAGUUGGGAGGAAGGUUAACACUCGAAUACAUGCCCCAGUUUUUACAUGAAACAUCUUCAUAGCCCAUAAGUCCAGGGGAAUUUUCCAUAUCAUUUUCUACACUCUUAACUUUCUCAACCACUUUCUCUAGCUCUUCUAGCAUACUAGGUUUCUUAGUAAGAAAUUUUGGCGGUCCACUUAAUUUAACGGUAGGUUCAAGAGUAUAACAAUGAUCAUCAAGAGUAUUGAACAUGGAUUCACUAGUGGACUAGGGAAACACAAUCGUUGGAUUGAUAGCCAAAGUGAAAGUUUUAGUAGAAGGUUGAGCAACAAAAGCACAUACGGUAUGUGGUGCUGUGAAUGUGGUAGACUUAUAUUGAGGAGCUAAAUAAAUAGAGGUGGAAGUAUUGAGGUGCAUUUGACGUGGGAUGGAUUCUGAGGUAUGCUGUGGUGCAUCAAUAACAGUGGAAAACUGACUUUGCAAUUUUGGUGGAAGACUCAAGGUAUUUGCAGGGUCAAAAGUGGGAAACGGAGGUGGAAGCAGCCCACUGGCCCAAGCUCGGUACAUUUUCAUCAUAUGUUGUCUCAGUCUCAAAUUCUUUUCCUUUAAACUCUCAAUUUUCUGACUCUUUGUUUCAUCCAUAGUGCCACUCUCUAUAUUCUUGUUGGACACAGCUAAAACUUUCUUGGAUUUGGUGUGAUAUGGAGGACCAGCCAGGAAGCCACAAACCAACCACCUUAAACUAACUUAACAAGAGGCAACAAAUAUGUUAGAGUUCAACCUUUUUUCGAGACCUCUUUUUUUCUUGAAAAGAUCACCGAACCCAAGAAGGGCGCCUACGUAUCUCGCCCUCGAGAGGGGAGAAUCAGGUGUGCAUAGUUCGUGAAGUCGUGCCAAAAUGGCCAAUUGAACUCUUUGUUUUCUUUCCUUUUUUUAUUUUUCUCGAAACUUUAAGAAGAAAAGAAAAUAACAAUUUGUCAAAAGAAUUGACGAAAAUGUUUUUGAAUUUUUCAGCAUUAACAUCCCUAUACAAAGUGAAAUCUAUGAUUACCAAAGAAAAUCUUUUUGGGUUUUCAGUUUCAAAUUUCAUAUGAAAAUGGAACUUGAACCUAUUAAAGAAAAAUCUUUUUGUAGUUUUCUUUUAGAGAUGUAUAUAAAACACCUACUCUAAGUGAAAAGUGAGAAAAUCUUUUUGAAUAUUGUAAAUACAAUCCCCGAACCAACAAUAGGUUGCCUACGUAUCUCACAUCCCGAAAGAGGAGAAUCAGAGGUGUGUAGUUCGUCCAGAUUGGACAAUUAAGGAUUAUAGAACAAACAAAACCUUGACUUGAGAGACAUGACUGCACGAUGAAAAUAAAAUCUUUUUGAGUUUUUAAUUUGACACUUCAUACAAAAAUGGCAUCAACAACUAUGAAAGAAAAAUCUUUUUGGUAUUUUCGUUAUAUGAAAUGUAAAAAAUUUCUAAAUCUUUUUUUGCAUUCUUCUUUUAUAAAAACUCUUAUGAAUGAAAAAUCUUUUUUAGAAUUUUUGAAUUGUGAAUGCAUGGUAAAGGAAACUCUUUUUGAUGUUUUUGAGAAAAUGAGUGCGAAAGGUAAAAAAAAAAAUUUGAAUUUUGAGAUUGUGAAAGAAAAAUCAAAAGUCAUAAAGAACUCUAAGAACUUACGAAACUCCUUUUUUUCUUUUGGACUUACUUUUUUUUCUAUUUUUUUUCAAUAUUUCUUGCAUACGCACUUUACUUCUAACACAUAUUUUCCCUAAAUCAGUCCCUCAAAUGGCCACGUUAUCCUCAAAGAUGCAACAUUUAGCACGUAGGGAUGCUUUAGAGGUGAGUCUCCUACAAAGGAUCACGUGGGUUCCGCUAGGUCUCAAUAUGAUGUAAAUAAACAUGACCUAAAGGCUGACCUACGCUGAGGUCCACUAACAAGGCUAUUUGGGGAGCGUAUGAUCGAUAGUAGAUUGCUUUAGCUGUCCACCUACUCCAUACAAUCCAACGGUUCCCCCUCCUAAAAUAAUGAGGACUCAACUAUAGGUCGUGUACACACGUGUACUACGGACUUGUUGUAGAAAGACAGACUCGGGUUAUGCACAUGUGCCAGAUAUAAAGCGGUAACACAUAAAGUAAAACCGUAAACAAAGAGCACGUAGACACUCAACAAUGAUUAACAAUGACACAAAACAACACAAACAACAUAUCUAUACACCUAUAGUGCCAGCUCGAAUUCUGAAAAAUCCCCAGCAGAGUCGCCAGAGCUGUCACACCCCUUUUUUCUCUCAAAAAUUAUAUUUUAUGAUUUUGAAAGAGUUUUAUUAUUAAGUGACAAAAAGAUGAAAAUUUUAUUUUGAAAAAGGAUUAUUUAUAUUUUUUUAUUCAGAGUCGCCACUUGGCAUAAAUCUGGUGUGCCAAGUCACCUUUGGAAAUUUCUUUUUAAAACGAUUUUGACUCUUUUAAACGGAUCCACGAAUAGAGAUUCCGAUUAAGGAAUUCUGUUGAUCGAGGGAAAGGUGUUGGCACCCCUCGAUCCCGUGGUUUGACCAUGGUCGCUUGGUAAAGCGUAUCGGCUAAUUUGACACUACAAAUGUAUAAACCACACAAAGCAUGCAAAACAAUCAAUCAAGCAAACAAAAUAAAACAAUCCAAAAUUUAGUGUCCAGUCUAAUUAUACAGUUCAAAAUAGAAAAGUGCAAAAAAUAUAAAUCUUAUUCUAAGCUGGUCCUAGACUAAGCUCCAAUACAUCACCCAAUGCCUCGAGCCUUGAUCACGAACCUCCUUCGAAGACAUAAUACGUCUGGGCAUUCCCUGGUGAAUAAAUACAUGAAACCUCGGAGUAUUCCCCGGCCAAAUGAAUACACUUUUCAAAUACGAUAAACAAAACCUUCAACAAAUAUUUUAAACAUUCCAACAAUCCAUCAAUUCUAAAUGUUGCCUACCGAGCCUAGUGCUUGCCUACCCGCUCGACGACAUAUCACGUUCAACAUCAACAAUGAAUCAAAAUACCAUAAUAUUCACUCUUAUCAAUUUUUGAUCCCCGCCCCCAACUUCAUUUUUAUCAAUCACACCAUCAAAAUUACUCAAAUUAGCUCCUCGUAUCACCAAAAUCACAUCGUCAAACACAUAAUCAUAACAUCAACAAAAUCAAACAAAUCGUAAUUACCCAACACAUAAUCACCAAAUCACGUCAUCAAAAUAAAGAGAAGAGAUGAAGAAUUGGACCUGAAAUUGAGGGUUUCAAACUAUGUUAUUCAAUUAAAGAGAGUCCGCGCCCGGAAACCU